UUCAAUUUUUCAUGUUUUUAUUCUGAACCAAUACAACAUUCUAUAAUUAGCAUAAACUUGGUAUAUUUUGGUAACUAAAAAGUAAAGUCCUUCCUCAUUGUUCUCCCCACCCCCUUUAGUUUUUUUGUUUGUUUUCAUCUUUUUCUCUUCCACAUGAACUCUAAAAUCAGCUUCCCAAGUUCAGUAAAUCUCCUGUUAGGAUUUGAAUUGGGAUUCCAUUGAACUUAUGGAUUAAUUUGCAAAGUUGACAUCUUUAAAAUAUCACAUCUUUCCUCCAGAAGCAUGUAUAGCUUUCCACGUAUCUUCUUUUGUCUCUUCAAGAAAUUUUAAGUUUUCUUCACAUGGAUCUUGCAUUGUUCUUGUUGGUUUAUUCCAAGGGGAUUUUUAAAAAACUUAUGUUGCCACUGGGAAUGGGAUCUCUAGAUUUUGUUUUUCUGCAGAAAAAAAGCAUAUGAGAGUGAAAGAAAGUAGGAGUUGAAAGAAUAUGAGAGAGAAGAAAAAGAGAAAUUCAAAAGGUAAGAUGAGAUGAGGCAGGAGGAAGACGGGAGAAAAUGUGAUUUUUACUGAGUGUUUAUGUGACAAGCCCUGUAUCAGAGGCAGUCACAAGCACCAUUUCAUGCAGUCUUUCUACCAGGUGGCUCAUCUGAGAAAAUGAAAUUUGAAAAGGUCAGUAAGGGAACCUGGAACAGGAAGCGGAAAGAGAGCAGGUUUGAAGUGAGAUCUGGGAAUUCAUCCCAGAUUCCAUUCUCACCAGCUGUGUGAUUUUUGCUCCAGUCACCUAAUUACAUUCUUCGCUUAUAAAACUUGCAUAAUAUCUGCUGAGGUGAUUGUGAGGAUUAACUGGAAUAAUGUAUCUAAAGUGUCCAUCACAUUAGAUGACAUUCUCCAUAAAUGCCAAUUCCCACCCAGCACCCAUCAUCCCGCCACUCCCCAUCUUCCUGCUACGGCAAAGUCAGAGUCCACUCAGAGCAGCAUGAAGCCUUCAUGUCAAUAUCCAAAGGGAUGUUUGUUCCAUGAGAACCUUAUACCCAAACAUACACUGUAGGGGAAAUAGUUGUUAGGAGCCAUGAUCUGAGUCUGAAAAAGACCCACAAAAGCCUAAAAAAAAAAGUCAUUUUUACAAAAGGAGGCAUUGUUGGAAUGUGAAUCCUUAUUCAAAUGCCCCAAAAGGGUGUUCUUUUCCAGCAGCAUGUACAUUUGCUCCCAACACGUCGCUCUUAUUCAUCUAGCGCAUGUGUGAAGUGGCCUGAAUUUAAAUCCUCCAGCUCUGCAGCUGGGAGCUUCUGAGGGAAUUAGCUCACCUCACUGAGCCUCCUUUCUUUCAUCUGAAAAAUGGGGUUAAUAACAAGGACCUCAAAGGAUUGCUAUGAGAAUUAAAU
ensembl:lncRNA